AUUGAACGCUGGCGGCAGGCCUAACACAUGCAGGUCGAGCGGAUGAAGGGAGCUUGCUCCUGGAUUCAGCGGCGGACGGGUGAGUAAUGCCUAGGAAUCUGCCUGGUAGUGGGGGAUAACGUCCGGAAACGGGCGCUAAUACCGCAUACGUCCUGAGGGAGAAAGUGGGGGAUCUUCGGACCUCACGCUAUCAGAUGAGCCUAGGUCGGAUUAGCUAGUCGGUGGGGUAAAGGCCUACCAAGGCGACGAUCCGUAACUGGUCUGAGAGGAUGAUCAGUCACACUGGAACUGAGACACGGUCCAGACUCCUACGGGAGGCAGCAGUGGGGAAUAUUGGACAAUGGGCGAAAGCCUGAUCCAGCCAUGCCGCGUGUGUGAAGAAGGUCUUCGGAUUGUAAAGCACUUUAAGUUGGGAGGAAGGGCAGUAAGUUAAUACCUUGCUGUUUUGACGUUACCAACAGAAUAAGCACCGGCUAACUUCGUG
rnacentral:rRNA from 1 species